rnacentral:rRNA from 1 species
AGUGAACGCUGGCGGCAUGCCUAACACAUGCAAGUCGAACGGCAGCACCGUAAGAGCUUGCUCUUACGGGUGGCGAGUGGCGGACGGGUGACGUAUACAUCGGAUACCUCUCUUACGUGGGUGAUAACGUAGGGAAACUUAUGCUAACACCGCAUAUGUCCUACGGGUGAAAGCAGGCGUUCUUCGGGCUUUGCGCGAUUGUAUGAGCCGAUGUCGGAUUAGCUAGUUGGCUGGGUAAAGGCCCACCAAGGCGACGAUGCGUAGCUGGUCUGAGAGGAUGGUCCGCCACACUGGAAGUGAGACACGGUCCAGACUCCUACGGGAGGCAGCAGUAGGGAAUAUUACGCGAUGGGCGAAAGCCUGAUCCAGCAAUACCGCGGGAGUGAUGAAGGACUUCGGGUGGUAAAGCGCUGUUGUUAGGAAAGAAGAACAGCUGGUUUAUCCGCGACGAUACUGACGGUACCGAAAGAAUAAGCACCGGCUAACUUCGUG